rnacentral:lncRNA from 1 species
CCCCCCCCCCGACCCCACUAACCCCUCUGCCUUCCCCUCUGCCCCAUCCAGACUCCUCCGGCUGCUCCUCCAGCGCUGCCCUCAGGAUGAGAGCGGUGGGGCUCUUCUUGCUGUGUCUGCCAGCAGCGCUCCUGGUCCAGGGUCAGUACAGCAGGUUUGAAGGCAUCACCUACCCCGAGCCGGUGCAAUAUUCCCAGUACGACCAGCAAUCAGAAAUUCAGGAUUACUACGACUAUCACGAUGUGACCCCCCGUGCCCCCGAGGAGCAGUUUCGGUACCAGUCCCAGCAGCAAUCCCAGCAUGAAAUCGUGCCAGCCCCGACCCCAGGUGGGUGGCAGCCACCUCCCCCCCACUUCCCCACCCCCAGCUCUGGAUUUGGGGGGGUCUCCAUCCCUCCCUGCACCCUUAGCCCAGC